rnacentral:rRNA from 1 species
UAAGGAAUAUUGGUCAAUGGAGGCAACUCUGAACCAGCCAUGCCGCGUGCAGGAUGACGGCCCUAUGGGUUGUAAACUGCUUUUAUACAAGAGAAAACCCUGGUACGUGUACCAGGUUGAUAGUAUUGUAAGAAUAAGCAUCGGCUAACUUCGUGCCAGCAGCCGCGGUAAGACGAAGGAUGCAAGCGUUAUCCGGAUUCAUUGGGUUUAAAGGGUGCGUAGGCGGACUGAUAAGUCAGUGGUGAAAUCUCUUUGCUUAACAAAGAAACUGCCAUUGAUACUGUCGGUCUAGAGUAUAGAUGACGUUGGCGGAAUAUGACAUGUAGUGGUGAAAUACUUAGAUAUGUCAUAGAACACCGAUUGCGAAGGCAGCUAACGAAACUAUAACUGACGCUGAGGCACGAAAGUGCGGGGAUCAAACAGG